GAGUUUGAUCUUGGCUCAGAUUGAACGCUGGCGGCAUGCCUUACACAUGCAAGUCGAACGGCAGCACGGGAGCUUGCUCCUGGUGGCGAGUGGCGAACGGGUGAGUAAUGCAUCGGAACGUGUCCUGGAGUGGGGGAUAACGUAGCGAAAGUUACGCUAAUACCGCAUAUUCUGUGAGCAGGAAAGCGGGGGACCUUCGGGCCUCGCGCUCUUGGAGCGGCCGAUGUCGGAUUAGCUAGUUGGUGAGGUAAAGGCUCACCAAGGCGACGAUCCGUAGCAGGUCUGAGAGGAUGAUCUGCCACACUGGAACUGAGACACGGUCCAGACUCCUACGGGAGGCAGCAGUGGGAAUUUUGGACAAUGGGGGCAACCCUGGUCCAGCCAUGCCGCGUGAGUGAAGAAGGCCUUCGG
rnacentral:rRNA from 1 species